GAGAAAGGUGACUGCUGGGCCUGGACAAGUCUGCUGUCACUUUCAAAUCCUAGAAAUGAAGAUAUGAAGGCUGUCACUUUAUAUGUGGGAAUGUUACAGCAGUGUCCUUAGCAAAAGCUAUGUCAUCAAUCAUGCUGGACAUACUCAACCAUGAGGGAGGAGGAGGAUGGGAAUGUGAGGCAUGGGAAAUGAAUGAAAAUGGAGAUAAAGGUUCAAUAUCAAAUUGAAACAGUGAAAUGUGUCCAACUGGUUCUUCAAGCAAAGAAAGCCUAAGGGAAUAUGCAGGACCUAAGUGUGAAACCAGCAAAGAUGAGAUCAGAGGCAUUGGCAGGCACCUCCAGUGGGAAGUGCUAUGCACCAAGUCCAGGGCUAGAGAGGCGCUGGCCCAUCCAGCCAGAUGGAUGAUGUCCAGGAUCAUCAUAUGCCUCUCGAGGGCUCAUGAGCAGCUACCACGAAUGCCCCUGCCUCCAUUUCGAUGUCUUACCAUGCUGCACACCUGUCAGUGUCUGAAACAUCUGCUGCCUCUCUUGCCCACCAACUAAGUGCUUCUGCAUUGCACUAGGAGUCUUCAAAAGUUCACAGAAGCUGCAUGUGAUUAAAAAAAUGCAUAGAUUUUAAUUGAUUUGCACCAAAAUAAGGUACCUUUUCAUUCUUUUUUCCAUGAAUAUUUCGGAGUCUCUGUACUUUGUUUCUUCUUUAUAGCACAUGUUGUAACCUCAAAUAUGUGCAUGGUACCCUAAAUAAAUGGGGAUAAUAAGUGUAAAAAAGUGGGAGUCCUUAAGAUCCUGGUGAGAUUCUGACCUCCUUAUCUAACAGUUAGCCACAACUCAGCUUUGUGCAUACUGCAGGUCAGAAAUUGAGCCCCAUCUGGUGUGUAUGUAAGAAACAUCUUGCCUUUAAAAAAAUAUUGGUAGAUAAUUCAAAUGUUUUUGAACAUGGGUUUGGCUAGAUAGAAAUCUACCUGAAGAUUAUAUCUGGUCCUUGUCCCAGUUUAUGAGCCCUACCCUAUAAGCACUCAUAAAUGGUGAGUCAGAAUAUAAUGUCUCCACUAAUAAUUUUUUUUUUAUUUUUUUUUUUGACAGGCAGAGUGGACAGUGAGAGAGAGAGAGACAGAGAGAAAGGUCUUCCUUUGCCGUUGGUUCACCCUCCAAUGGCCGCCGCGGCCAGCGCGCUGCGGCCAGCGCACCGCGCUGAUCCGGUGGCAGGAGCCAGGAGCCAGGUGCUUUUCCUGGUCUCCCAUGGGGUGCAGGGCCCAAGCACCUGGGCCAUCCUCCACUGCACUCCCUGGCCAUAGCAGAGGGCUGGCCUGGAAGAGGGGCAACCGGGACAGAAUCCGGCGCCCCGACCGGGACUAGAACCCGGUGUGCCGGCGCCGCUAGGCGGAGGAUUAGCCUAGUGAGCCGCGGCGCCGGCCCUCCACUAAUAAUUUUAAAUCCACUGAGAAUGUGUUCAUUUUUUUUAAACCUUAGAGUACUUUUUAUGGAAUUGAUGCCCUAUGUUUUUUUGUUGCAUUUUAGAAAAUUUUGAGGAUGAGGAGUGAGAGGAGUUGAGAAAAACAAGUUAGGCUGGGAUGAGUGUGUUGUUGAGAUUGUUAGUCAAGAUCAUUUUUGUAAACUAUUUCAUUUUGAUGUUUUAUUAAUCACUACGAGUGAAUUUAAAUAUUUUAAUGAUUGAUAUAUUUUGUUCGUUGCAUGCCCUGGGGCUUUUAAAAAGAAAUGACAUUUUAGAAAAAACUAAAAUAGAACCCCUAUCAAUCAUCAUUUAAACUGUUUUCACUAAGGUGCUUACUGCACUUUGGAUCUGGGCCAGUGUGGCAUUUGGGGACUUGGAAAUCCAAAUUUACCUCCUUGGUGGGUUUUGACUGUGCUGAAAUCAGGCUCUGUAAGUGAUUUCAUCUCAUAAUGCAGCCUCUGAAAUUUUCCUAUAAAACAAUUCUGUUUGAAUGUGAAUAUCCAUACUUCCAACAAAGCUUGGAGGAAGAAAACAAUUUAUUACCACCCCAUUUAAGUCUCACUUUUUUAACUAUUAAAAUAUCUUUUCCUGGAAAAGAUUGUAACUUAUAGGUUAUGUCUCUGUGGGGAGCCUCUACUGGAUAAAAGUUCAGAGCUCCUUAUGACUAUGAAAUAUUUUAUAAAAAUGGAGGUAAGGAAACGAGUUUAUCACCAAACCUGAGGAUACUAUAACAGUGAAUAGUUUUUUAUUUUAUUUUUGCUUGUUCAUUAGUUUUAGUGGCAAGAGUGUUUAUUCUUGUGCCAGGAUAUUAAAGUGAUCACUUGGGAAGACAUAGUUUUCUUGCUUUGCUGCUUCCCUUUUCUUUUUUAAUUUUGCUUCAUGUUUAUUUAUUUGAGAGGGAGGGAGAAGUGGGAGAGAGAGAGACAGAGCUCUCUUAUCCUAGACGGAGAGACAGACCUAGCGUCCACCCACUCAUCUUCCCAUUGACUUCCUGAAACACUUGAAGUGUCCAGGGCUGGGCCAGGCCAGCAGUCAGGAGCCAGAAACACAAUCCAGGUCUUCCACCUGGGCAGCAGGAACCUGAUUGCUUCAGUCAUUACUGCUGCCUCCAGGGUCUGCAUUAGCAGAAAGAUGGAAUUGAAGGCUGGAUGGAGUCUGGAAUUGAGCCCAGUUACUCCAGUAUGGGAGUAACUACUGGAACUCCUCUCUGUCUUUGUUUCCCAUGCAGUGAUGGGGAAUAUUUUGCAGCCAGGGGCCACUUGGAUAUUUAUCACAUUGUGUGCGGGCCAUAAAAAAUUAUAAACUUACAAAUUAGCCUGCUAUAGAUUUAUUGAAUUUUGAGUCCAGCCUGUGGUUGCCUUGGCAGGGCCAGACCAAAUGAUAUUGUAGGUCUGAUAUGGCCCACGGGCCGGAUGUUUCCUACCCCUGUAAGGAUCGUUCUCAGGUGGAAGCUGAACCAGAAUCCUUGCUCGUUUUUGUGCCUGGAGUUUCUGCCUAGUGGCUCACCUUCACAGAGUUCCAGCACGACAUUUUUGUCCCUUUCCUGCCUGCAGUUCAUCCAGGACCUGCCCAGUGACCACACGAGAGAGACCAUUGUCUAUAACUGUCCCUGCAAAUCCUGUCAUCUCACUGGUCCUAUCUGUUGUUACCCUCACUGCUGCAAACUUGCCUUUCUCAGUGCCAGUGUUUGUUAAUUUCUCCCUCUCUGGGCUGCUACCUAAUUCUGUAAGUCAUUAGCAGGCAGGGUGUGGAGCCUGUGUGUCAUGUCACAGAAUUGUGAUUUUUUUUUCAUCCCCUCCCACUCAACCAUUCUGAAUUGUCACUUUUCAGCCAAUUCUUAGACAUGAAGUUUAAAAAAAUACAUAAAUAGCUUUGUGACUCACCUGAGGGAAUCUGUGACCUUUUAUUUUCAUUGUUUUCACUCCCCUCCAUCCUCAGUUGGAAAUCAACAGUCUGCAUUUUAAAACAAAACUCAUUGCUCCACUCUACUAAAGGUGAAGUGGAGUAGGAAGGAUUUUAAAAGACUCCACAGGGAAAAGUUUGGGAGGGAAAUGAAUAGGGAGAAAAAAAAUGUAAACCUGCAUUUUUAAAGGAUUUACAGAUAUCCCUUCGUGAGCAAUUCAAGAAUAAAGUCAUUCCCUGACCCAACUUUUGCCAGAGAGAUACACACCCACAAUAUUCUGCAUCCAUGAAGGCAGAGCCCUGUGUUAUGGUUUGGACACGCUUGUCCCAUAGGAUUCAGGGACUGGGAGCGUGGUGUGUGGGAGUAUGGUGAUGCUGAGAGGUGGUGGAAUGUUUAAAAGGUGGGUACUCCUGGCAAUUAGCACAUUGGAGGUGUAGCUGCUGGAAGUUCUUGUGGAGUGAAUUAUCUCUUGUGACAGUGGGCUUUUAUAAAACAAGGCCACUCAAUGCCUUUGACUUCCUUCUACAUGUAACUGGUUCUACAUCUCUGCUAUGUUGUGGUGUAGCCAAGGAGGCCCUUGUCAUUCGCCAAACCACUGGGGCCAUCUGAUCUUGAAUUUUUGGCCUCCAAAAAUGUAAUUUAAAUUAGUGUUUUAUUUAUUUAAUUUUAUAAAGUAUCAACCUUCAGUCAUUUUGUUAUAGCAACAAAAAUCACACUAAUACAGCUUGAAUCCUGAUCUAGGGAUCUAUGAAACUGAUACAGCUUAAUUUUCUGGCAUACCUAAUCCCUGAGUGUGGGGAGGUUCUACCAAUAUAUUUGCAAUGUUAUGUGCUCUGAAAAUUUGCAAAAGCAAGACAUUUUUAAAGAUUUAUUGAUUUUAAAGUCAGAGGCACAGUAGAAGAGGGAGAGGGAGUAAGGGAGAGAGAAAGAGAUCUUCCAUUUACUGGCAUACUCCCAAAAUGUCUGCCAACACCUGGGGCUGGGCUAUGCCAAAGCCAGGAGCCAGGAACUCCAGCCAAGUAUCCCAUGUGGUGGCAGCAACCCAAGUACCUGGGACACUGCUGCCUCCUGGCAUAGGAGCAGGAAGCUGGAUUGGGAAUGGAGGCAGGACUAGAUUCCAGGCACUCUGCUAUGGGAUCCAGGUGUCCCAAGCAGCAAUUCAAGCCACCGUAUCACAAUGCCCACCCAAAAGAAAGACAUUUGUAGUGGAAGCUGGUCACUUCUUCUCCAACUUUCCUGAAGAUCCAGCAUCCUUAAUGACCCUAGCUAGGGGCAUUUUAGGGAGUUGAAUUAGUUGACUUAGUGAACUGCAUUUAUGUGAUCAUCUGUCCCUUCCAUUCAUAGUUACGCUGAGCCUUCCAGUUAGGGAUGGCUGCCAGGAACAUUCCCACACUGACUGUGCUUCCUCAAGGGCAAACCACUCAAAAGACGAUUUAAAUUAGUUAGUACACAAGAACAUGUAAAUGUUCUUAAUGUGCUUAAAGUUGUACAGCUUCAGUAGGAGAAAAGCAUGAAAGAGGUUUUUGCAUACUUGGAAAUCCUAAAACUAUGCAUGGACAUCACCAAUAUUGAAUUGUGAUGCCGAAACUUGCCUAAAGUAUUGAUAAUAAUGGCAAAUUCUGGGCAACCAAAGCGAAACGAAACAUUUGCUUGGUUUUUUUUUUUCUGUUUUCUUUACAGAUGAUUAUUAUUUUCAUAAAACUGUAUGAUAAAAAAACUGUAUGAUGAGGUGAUAAAAAUAUAAGUUGCUAAAACUGGGGAAAUGUAGAUAUGUUGCAAAGUCAAUUAAUGUAAUAUUGUGCUAUUUUCUCGAUUUUUGUAAUGCUUGUGGCAUAUUCAGCCUUUCAAAAAUUUGUAUUUAUUUGUUAUGAUUUCUUUUCUCAUUUGCUUUUGUGUCCUAAUUGUGUACUCUAAAUUUGGUGUUCUUUUACUUAAAGAGCAGCUUCAAAGUUGUAGAAGCUUCCUGCCAUUCAUUUCUUUUACCCUUAAGCUGUAACCUUUGAAUACUUGAUAGGGUUCCUGGAGGUAAAAUCAUGAAAGUGUUAGGGCGCCCUGAGACUGGGCUUCCUCAGAAUUUUUGACUUUCAACCAGUGUAUCCUGAACCGCUAGGAAUUUGUCAGUUUAGAGUGUUCUAGCACUACAGGCUUUUGCUAUGGGCUUUGUACCUAGUAAGCUCUGAUUCUCUAUAUCCACUUGUUUGUCUCCACUUUGGGGGAGGGUGAUACAGAUUUCCUUGUGGCCUCAAUCCUCUGAGAGAUGUAAGAAGAGCUGCUGAUUUUCAUUAUUUUGUUCAUAAUUUUUCUUGUUGUGAGGAUAAGCGUGAUGACUUCCAACCUCCAAAAGUGUGAGAAAAUUAAUUUCUAUUAUUUAAACCACUCUGUCUGCAGUACUCAUUUAUGGCAGCCCAGGCAGAUUAAUACACUGUCUAUUUCAGAAAAAGUACUAGAAAAUGCUGGAAUGAAGAAUUUUCAAGCUCAGAAGUGACUGACAGAUCCUAGAAUUGAAAUGAUUACUUUCUUAAAAAUUUGCAUUGUAUUAGAUGCCUACUUCCACUUGACGAGUCUUUUGAAAUAAUUAAUAUUCAAAUAUGGGUUAGAAAGAAAUGUAAGGACAUACUGCUAUAACAAAAGAGAGAAUACCGUCUCCAAACUUUUCUUAUCACAUUACUUUGCGGUGGAAGGUCCAAACUUCUGUGCUAAUGCUAAAGGAAGUAGACCACAAAGAAAUAGAAAUAAGGGAUGGAAUUUACAAAUGAAGAUUUAUCAGGACAGAAUGAGAAAUGCAGUCAGGUGUGAAGAGAUACUAUACAGACUGUUCACAGCAAAUGUUUAAGAUGGCAGAUGAUGUACUCAUGGUACUGGACAGAGCCCUGGUCAUUCCAGGACUGUGGUGAGGAGGUUCACUACUGCUGUGGUCUUUGGUGAGCUAACGCCUCCAGCUUCAAUUUCCUUGGAGCCAGAUAGAGAUGAUAACCCUGCCAUCACCACCUCACAAAAUGUUUUGGAGGACUAAGUGAAAAUGAGAUGUUGAAGGGCCCUACACUACUGGAGAGUGAGUAUUGCUGUGAGGAUAAAAAACAUAAUGCAGGUGAAACUCUAAUAGAGAGUACUCAGCCAAAGUAGACACCCUCAAAAUGGUUAUUAAAUAAAUGAUGAGCAUCAAAUGGCUUAAAUUCUGGUAUUCUGGAUUCUGAGCUUCUGGGGGCUUCAAAGAGAUGCUUGAGGGAUCUUUGAAAUGUACUUAUGACGGCAAAUGUAGGACUUCCAGGAAGAAAUAAAAAUGCAAUUCUAUGUAUACAUAUAUAUUUUUUACCAGCCAUGGUCUGUUAACAUUCCCCCUGCCCCACCCCAGGUGAGUUAUUUUCUUUGCUCAUAGAUGGGAAAUUUAAUAUAGUCAUACUUUUUCUGCUCAUUCUUAGGUAACUGACAAUCAUGAGAACAUGAGUCACAAACAUUAGCACUUUGUUUUUCUCCUGGUAAUGGAAGGCAUCCUAGCCAAGAGAGGAAUUAAUCUUCUUCAAUUUUUCAUUAAAAAUGUUUCUUUACUAUCUUUCUUUGGGCAUGUAGAUGGUUACAGCAUACCUCCAGGGUUGGUUUAUGUUUUCUUUCACUCUUUUCUCUCAUAAGAUAGCACAUUUUUUGUUAUUUGGGGCUUCUAGUUGGGACAUGGUAUUUGAGAGGAGAAACUUAAAGCAGACUUGAGUUGGGUGGGUUACUUCCAUCUCCCUGGGCUUGGCUGGUGAGUAAGUUGACUCCCUAAUGGUACCUCCAUGGCUUCCUCAGACCUUACAGUUAUUGGCAACUCAUUUUUUUUUUAAAAAAAAUGUAUUUUAUUUAUUUGAAAGACAGAGUUACAGAGAGAGGUAGAGACAGAGAGAGAGGUCUUCCACCUGCUGGAUCAUCCCCAGAUGGCCGCAACGGCCGGAGCUGGGCUGAUCCGAAGCCAGGGGCCAGGAGCUUCUUCCUGGUCUUCCAUGUGGGUGCAGAGGCCCAAGGACUUGGGCCAUCCUCUAUUGCUAUCCCAGGCCAUAGCAAAGAGCUGGAUCGGAAGAGGAACAGCUGAGACUAGAACCAGUACCCAUAUGGGAUGCCAGAGCUUCAGGCCAGGACUUUAACCCGUUGCGCCACAGCGCCAGCCCCAAUGUGGCCACUCCUAAAAUAUCUGAGGGUAUUGGAUCUCUCAGGCUGUCACGUGUACUACAGGACCUCAUUCUUGGUGGUUUACCUCAAUUGCUAUUCUCUUUUGCUCUUAUUGAAAACUUCUGGCAAGAUAUUAAGGCCUAUGGCCCACAUCUCUUUCCUUUCGGUAGUUCACAUUUGGACUAAUGACAGCUCUUAUAAAUUUUUUUUGCUCAAAAGAUUAAGGGGUAGGUGUGUUCCAAUAAAGCCACUUUAACUUACGGCUUUGGGAUAGUUAUCAAUUUAUCAGAAUUGCAGGGAACACAGAAAGCACUUGGAAACUCCAUUUUACUGUGCUUGUGUUAAAUGUUAGCAUCCCUCUCUCCAGCACUGAGGUCUUCUCACCACCCCACCUUUGUAGGGAUGACUUGGCAGAUCAACAGCUCUCUCUAAAGAACCCUCAAGCAUCCUCUUCUUUCUCUUACCCCCUUUAUAUCCUUGAUCCUUCUGAAGAGUUCAAGAUUCAAGGAACCAUGUCUCAAAAUCCCAUACAAAUUUCACACAAGGCAAUCAUCUCACAUUCGCAUUGGUAUCUGGUAUCUCUCACAGUGACACUUGAGUUGAAAUCAGUAUUUCCAACCCAGUACAAAAACAACAAAUGAUGUUCCAUCAAACAAAGUAUAUUAAAUCCCUGAAAGGGGACUGUUCAUUGUUUGUAAAUUUAAUGUACUUUGAUUCAGCAAAGAUUUCAUCUGCAAAGAAAUCAACUGCUAAGCAGAAUGAAGAAUUAUUGUGUUAGCAAAAUCAUGUUGUUCAGGAAUUUCUCCAUGUUUCUGAGGGCAUCUAACACAAGGUGAUUGUCUUGUGUGAAAAAUAUUGAACUAGUUCCUGACAGGUGCUGCUAUCAUCAUGACCUCGAGUAAAAUCGAUUUUAAGGUAACCAAAAGAUUAAGUAGGAGUCCCUUAGACCUUCAAAUAUAGGCAAAAUUUGCCAUCAUUUUGGAUUCUGUACUCUCCCCCAAUCCCCUCAUCUCAUUCUUUUUUUUUUUUUUUUUGACAGGUAGAGUUAUAGACAGCGAGAGAGAAACAGAGAGAAAGGUCUUCCUUCCGUUGGUUCACUCCCCAAUGGCUGCCACGGCCGGUGCUAUGCCGAUCCGAAGCCAGGAGCCAGGUGCUUUUCCUGGUCUCCCAUGUGGGUGCAGGGGCCCAAGCACUUGGGCCAUCCUCCGCUGCUCUCCCAGGCCACAGCAAAGAGCUGGACUGGAAGAGGAGCAACCAGGACUAGUACCCGGCGCCCCAACCGGACUAGAAUCCGGGGUGCCAGCGCUGCAGGUGGAAGAUUAGCCGAGUGAGCCACAGCACUGCCCCCCCCCAUCUCAUUCUUAAUCAUUUCAUUUGUGUGGGGUUGGUGUUGUGGCACAGUUGGUUAAGCCACUGCCUGCAGUUCCAGUAUCCCAUAUGGGGCUGGUUCGAGUCCCAGCUGCUCCACUUCUGAUCCAGCUCCCUGCUAAUGCACCUGGGAAAGCAGCCUAAGAUGGCCUAAGUCCUUGAGUGUCUGUGACCAAGUAGAAGACCCAGACAGAGUUCCAGGUUCCCAGCUUCAGCCUGGACCAGCCCUGAUUGUUGCGGCCACUUGGGGAGUGAACCAACACAUGGAAGAUCUCGCUUUCUGUCUCUGCCUCUGUUUCUUGGUAAUUCUGCCUUCCAAAUAAAUAAAUAGAUCUUUUCUAAAACUUUCAUUUGCUUAGUAAUUUGGUGGACGAUAUGGGAGUGAUGAGAAGGAAAGAGGUUCUAUGGAGGGAUCAUAUUGAGAAGUGGUUUUCCGACAUUUCACAGAAUCUUCACACUUCUCUUUCUUCUUCCUCCCUCCUUCUCCAGAGUAACUAGCAAUGUGUUUCCCCUGUUUUUCUCUGAUUGAGUAUAUCCUCUCGCUUUUUUGGAAUUGUUCCUUAUACCCCCUUCACCUUUCUUUUUAAACAUUUAUUUUAUUUAUUUGAAAGGCAGUGUGAUUUCUUAAUGUCUGCAAAAGGAAAUAAUUUGCACUCAGAUUUGCAAGUAUGUUUCAGAAAUAUAUUUAUUUAAAAGAAUAAAAAUGCUUUAUUUUGAUAUAGUUGCAAAUAUUGACUUUUUAUAACUGAACAUUGUUGUCAAUAAUAAGAGUAAUGCACUAAUGGGAACACUAAUUCUAUACAAACAAUUCCAUGUGGCACUGUAAUGUACUAGAGAUUUAAUUUUUAGACAGAAAGAGACUCUGCAUUACUGGUCAUGCCAGCCUAAAUCCACACAUAAAUCUGGUUCUACACACUUAAUGAAAGGUUUUAUGUAAUUGAAAAUAGAAUAUAAAAUAAGAGAAAAAUUUCCAUAGUACUUUUUUUCUUCAAUCACUCUCUCCAGCACAGCCACAUCUGAAGCUCCUAAAAAUAUUCAUUUGCUAAGCACUGGCAGGCUUUCUCACAGGCAAGCCUACUCUCAGCAAGCUAUCUCCCUCAAAUUUUCUUCUUACUUUCUUGAUAGAAUGGACAAAAUGUUGUCUUUUUUUUUUUUAGUACUUGGCCCAAUAUUUUCUGUUUGCCAAAGGCAUCCCUGGUUUAUCAAAUGUAAGGUAAAUGCCAUCUAAUCUAUAUUAUAUAACACUAUGUUAUGAAUAUUUUUAAAAUGUUUCUUUUUCCCAUAGUUUAUCAUUUGUGUGUCUACCCUCAUUUCUACAUUAUAAAUUCCAAUAAUAGAUGCUGUGUCUUAGCCUCUCUGUUUACAAAGUGUAGAUAACAAUGUGUGUAUCACUACACUCUAAGAAAAUAACAAGGGUCAAGUGGCCAUGUAGAUUAAAAUGUGUUUUAUAAACUGCAAAAUACUCUGAAAAUGUGGAAUAUGUUAUUAUUACUACAAUGUGAAGGGUAAGUUAGGUGCAUCAAAAUUUCCCAUAAGAACUGACAUUAAUCUGUUUAGAAAAAUGAACAGAGGGUCGUGGUUGUGGAGCAGAGGGUUGAGCACCAUCUGUGCCACUAGCAUACCAUAUGAGAGUUCAAGUCCCGAUGCUCCACUUCUGAUCCAGUUCUCUACUGGUUAUUCUGGGAAGGCAAUAGAAGAUGGCCCAAGUAUUUGGGCCCUUGCAACCCAGUUAAAGUUUUAUUAGCUCCUGGCUUCAGCCUGGCCCAGUCCUGGAUGUUGUAGCCAUUUGGGGAGUAAACCAGCAGAUGCAAGAUCUCUCUCUUUUUUUUUAAAGAUUUAUUUAUUUAUUUGAAAGUCAGAGUUACACAGAAGGAGGAGAGGCAGAGAGAGAGAGAGAGAGAGAGAGAGAGAGAGGUCUUCCAUCUGAUGGUUCACUCCCCAAUUGGCCACAACAGCUGGAGCUGCGCCAAUCCGAAGCCAGGAGCCAGGAGCUUCCUCCGGGUCUCCCAUGUGGGUGCAGGGGCCCAAGGACUUGGGCCAUCUUCCACUGCUUUCCCAGGCCAUAGCAGAGAACUGGAUUGGAAGUGGAGCAGCCAGGUGUUGAACCAGUGGCCAUAUGGGAUGCCGGCGCUUCAGGCAAGGGCGUUAACACACUGUGCAACAGCGUUAGCCCCACAAGAUCUCUUUCUGUCUCUCUCGGAUGCUCUGUCUUUCAAAUAAAUAAAUAAACCUAAAAAAAAGAAAAAACAAUUGGGACCUACACAACAAGAAGAAAGUCAUGGGAGAUACAGUUGAAAAGCAGAGAGCAGAGUGAGGGGGAAAACCUUGCAAGGCAGGAGUAAACUUGGGGUAUUAAAAACAGAAAAAUAGCGAAGGUUAGUAUACCAGGUUGGGAUGAACAAGUCAUAGAGGAAAGCAGAAGACCAAGUCAUGGGAAGCUUAGGGUGCUAUCAAAAAAUACAAAUUGUAUUUUAAGUGAAACGGGAUGCCACUGAAGGGAAUUAACAUAGGGAGCAGUUCAAGUUUUGUUUUCCAAAGCUCACACAAACCUCUGCGUGGAUGGUUCUUUAUAGGAAAGUCACGGGGAAAUGAAGAAGCCAGUAAGGACCCCUUUUUAGCUUUUAGAAUAGAGAUGGCUAGAGCUUGCUUGGAUUAGGCUGGAGCAAUCUCUAUUAGGUAUUAAAUUUGGGGAAAAAAAAAACAACAACAUGCAACUUCAGCCGUGACAGCAUCAAGAAUCCUAAUUCUAAUGGGUCACACAGAAAAAGAUCAUAUGGCUUUACUGUAGCUUAGGAAAUACUGGUAGUUAAUUCAGCAGAGAAAUCUUUUGUUUUCAUUUUCCAGAGCUUGAGAGGGAAAAUACAAAUUUAACAAUUAAAAGUAUUUAAAAUAUUAAAAUAUAUUUUUAAAAUAUGCAUAACACAUAAAUGUUUCUUUUGCUCUAAAAUACAUUUUAACAAAAUGUUAGAAUAAAAAUUAUAUAUAUGACUUGCAUUAUAUUUCUAUUGUUAGAGGUACUUUAAAACAUUACAGGAGGCACUUUAUAGUUAUAGGUACUAAACCAUUGUUAUAGGUACUCUAUUGUUAGAGCUACUUUAAAACAUUCCUUGGACAGGUGGGAUAUGUCUUUGUUUUUUAAUCAGAAAGAAUGACUUUGCCUCCCUAUGUUCUUGAGGGCAGUGGCCAGCACUUCCCUGUCUUCAGGGGUCAGACAAUAUCCCAUUCCCUAGUUUGAAAAUCUCAUUUUGGGUCCUAAAAUUAUAUUUCAUUCAACUUUCUCAGUUAAUUUGAAGUAAUGUUAUGUGUAUAUACUUCACAUCCUACUGUGUGGCAUAGUAGGCUAAGCUUCUGCCUAUUGUGCCAGCAUCCCAUAUGGGGGCUGCUGCUCCACUUCCGAUUCAGCUCUCUGCUAUGGCCUCGGAAAGCAGUGGAAGAUGGCCCAAGUCCUUGGGCCCCUACACCCAUGUGGGAGACCCAGAAGAAGCUCCUGGCUCCUAGCUUUGGAUCAGCACAGCUCUGGCCAUUGCGGCCAUUUGGCAAGUGAACCAGAAGGUGGAAGACCUUUCUUUCUGUCUGUUACUCUACCUCUCAAAUAAAUAAAUAAAACCUUAAAAAAAUCCACAUUACAGGAGAAAAGAAAAUGAGUUUUGUUCAUUUUGAAAUAACUGUAUUUAUGCUUUAUUUUGUGGCUAAGUCUGUACCACUACAAAUACAGCUGCUUUUACAGAUUUUUCUUUGUUUUUGAUACACUAUAGUUUUACUACAAUAUGGCUCCCUGUAGGUCUAUUUUUAGUUACUCUGCAGAAUAUUUGGUGGGCUUGUUUUCAUAUGUCUUAAAUUUGGGGAAAUUCUUUUAUCAUUAGCUCUUUUAAUAAUGAUUCUCCCCUUUUCUUUCAGCAAAGUGCUGUGGAUAUUUUGUACUUUCUUUCUAGCCUACAUACCUCUUAAUUAUCUUUCUUUUACUUUUUCUUUUCUAUGUGCUGAAUUAUGCAUG